rnacentral:rRNA from 1 species
UGGUGCCAGCAGCCGCGGUAAUUCCAGCUCCAAUAGCGUAUAUUAAAGUUGCUGCAGUUAAAAAGCUCGUAGUUGAAUUUCGGGACCAUCAUGUCGGUCGUGCCUCGGUACGUACUGGCAUUGUUGGUUUCUCCCUUCUGACGAACCACGAUGUCAUUUAUUUGGUGUUGUGGGGAAUCAGGACUGUUACUUUGAAAAAAUUAGAGUGUUUAAAGCAGGCUCACGCUUGAAUACAUUAGCAUGGAAUAAUGAAAUAGGACGUUUGAUUCUAUUUUGUUGGUUUCUAGGAUCGACGUAAUGAUUAAUAGGGAUAGUUGGGGGCAUUAGUAUUCAAUUGUCAGAGGUGAAAUUCUUGGAUUUAUUGAAGACUAACUACUGCGAAAGCAUUUGCCAAGGAUGUUUUCAUUAAUCAAGAACGAAAGUUAGGGGAUCGAAGACGAUCAGAUACCGUCGUAGUCUUAACCAUAAACUAUGCCGACUAGGGAUCGGAUGAUGUUAAUUUUUUAAUGACUCA